GAGCACGUAGGUGGGUUUGUAAGUCGGAUGUGAAAACUCAGGGCUCAACCCGGAGACGCCAUCCGAUACUGCAAUGACUAGAGUCCGGUAGGGGAGCAUGGAAUUCCUGGUGUAGCGGUGGAAUGCGCAGAUAUCAGGAGGAACACCAGUGGCGAAGGCGGUGCUCUGGGCCGGUACUGACGCUGAGGAGCGAAAGCAUGGGGAGCAAACAGGAUUAGAUACCCUGGUAGUCCAUGCCGUAAACGUUGGGCACUAAGUAGAGGGG
rnacentral:rRNA from 1 species